CGUUUAAUAUUUUUUAUUGAAAUAAUAAAAAUAAGGACGGAUCCCACAAAAACCCAAGAAGAAGAAGCUGACGUGAUCCUUUGUGACACUUACAUUCCGGUGAGUAAAAAUCUGCAGCUGUCAAAAUGUUUUUGUACUUUAAAACCAAAAAUAACUCCAAAGUGUUACGUUAUAAAGUUAUUGGUGGUAGUUUUAGGACUUAAUGGCAGUAGGACUGUGAUGCGAAUGGUUGAAGACAUGUUUGUAACAUUUUUUUUGCCGGAGAAUAUACGGUGGAAGCUAGCUAAAUUAGCCUCUUAGAGGCUAAUUGUACCUGUAUACUGUACCUGUGCUUAAUACGUUUAAUUAGCCAUGAUAAAGUCACAUAAUAGUAUUUAUAGUCAUGCUUGUUGUUGCCACUUUGUAAAAUUGGAGGGUUGCUAAAAACAUCAGUGCCCCUAGGCUGUGAUGAUCUUAAAGUUUUGUUUAUGAACCCUGUCUGAAUACACUGAUUGCAGCUAGGUCAUUUACUUGAAUUAAAAAUGAACUUGCAUCAGUACAGGCACAUUUCUUUCYUCCUGYCUAUGUUAUUUAUUGCUGUUGCAAGCCAGAUGAAGAGAAGUAAAGAGCUGAGAACCUGAUCUUUGAACAGACAGAGACCAUCGGUCAGGAGCAGCCUGGGAUGCUUACUGAGGAGCAUCCAAUAAUGAUACCAGAGAACCAGGAAGAUACUGUGAUAGUGCUUGAUUUCGUUCCUGUUUCUCCUCCUGUUGUCCCAUCCUCUCAGUCUUUUCAGAAGAAGAAAAGACCCAGAAGCACCUCUCCAGCUGCCUCUCCUCCCACUGUCUCCCCCCAAAGAUCAGCCGCAUCUGCAUUCAUGUCACCUGCUGACCAUGCCAUCUCCUUAAGUCAUGGUGGCCGAUAAGAAGAGAAAGCUUAAGUUAAAAUGUUAUGGAAGGAUCCCUUCAAGUGUCAAGUUUGUACCCCAGAUGUGCUUUCAGUUUCAGUGGAUGGAAAUUGCAAGUAUUGCCAUUUAAGGAAUGCAGCAAGAUUGGAGGAACAGGCUAUAUUUCAGGACCUUUUCAUAGCCAAGGAUGAAAAUGUAGGAAAAUUUGUAGACUGUAUACACAAAUCAACCAAAAAUAUUUUGUGGUGGGCAAUGGUCAGCAGAUCCAGCAGCAAACUGGAUGAGGAGGCUUGGAGCUAGCGGCUGGCCAACAGACAAUCACUUUUUUUCCAUGGAUGUAACAUGCAAGUACUGGACAUAACUUGCAAACUAACAAAAAGCUGUCCUGAGCUCCAACACCUGCUUGAAAUGAAGCCAUUUCUCUCAAUGUUCCAUGGCAAAGCCCAUGAAUACACAGAUGGACACAAAGCUUGUGCCAAGGCUCAUCGCAAGAUCAGAAAGGAGAAAACAUCUUAGCAUUGGCUUUAGAAGAUGUUGGUCACUUGAAGACUGAUACAGACACAGAAGUUCUGUCUUUGGAAGAGAUCCUGUCCGG